CUCCUCGGGCCCCGCCGCAGCACUGGGAACCCGGGUAAAGCCCACUGGCGUCAAUCGGCAGUCACUAAGUCCCGCCGUCCUUGUCCUCAUUCUACCCUGCCUAAUAUGACCCUGGAUUCUGGAACUUCAGUUUCCCGUGGCCUCACUAGGAAUUCCCUGAGCCCUCCCCGCGGUCCUGGUCUCCGCUCCUUCGUGUCUGCGCCCUGGAGCCCCCACCUGAGCAUCUAGCGAGGAGACAGAGACCCCUGGCGACCGAAAAGGAAAAACCAGAGCCGCAGAGAAGUUUGUGAAAAUUAAUAAAGGCAAACUUUCCUGAAAUGGAGUGGCAGCAGCUCUCAAGACUUACCACUAGACUCAAGGGUUGUCAGUUACUGAUCCUCAACAGAAGCAUCAACAGGAAAGAAUCAUCAAUUAUAGGCCUCAACAGAGAAAGCUGGGCAUUGUAUCUCCUACAAGAAACUGACCACCCAGCUACUCCGCCAAUGAGAAGCCUUCAUCACCCUGAACACUUGUCUUUCUCCAAUGAUCUCCUUCAAAACAACCCCUCCCAACUUCCUCCUUCUCCAUAUGAUAAUGUUUCUCUCCUUUGUUGGACUAGCCUAUGGUUGUUUCCCCAGCUUGAAUUGCAGUAUUCUGGUAUUCCCUAAUAAACCCAUUUUUGCUGGGAACAUGAAA